rnacentral:rRNA from 1 species
GGCGGCUUACUGGACUGUAACUGACGUUGAGGCUCGAAAGUGUGGGUAGCAAACAGGAUUAGAUACCCUGGUAGUCCACACCGUAAACGAUGAACACUAGGUGUUAGGAGGUUUCCGCCUCUUAGUGCCGAAGCUAACGCAUUAAGUGUUCCGCCUGGGGAGUACGACCGCAAGGUGGAAACUCAAAGGAAUUGACGGGGACCCGCACAAGCGGUGGAGCAUGUGGUUUAAUUCGAAGCAACGCGAAGAACCUUACCAGGUCUUGACAUCCUUUGAAGCUUUUAGAGAUAGAAGUGUUCUCUUCGGAGACAAAGUGACAGGUGGUGCAUGGUCGUCGUCAGCUCGUGUCGUGAGAUGUUGGGUUAAGUCCCGCAACGAGCGCAACCCUUAUUGUUAGUUGCCAGCAUUCAGAUGGGCACUCUAGCGAGACUGCCGGUGACAAACCGGAGGAAGGCGGGGACGACGUCAGAUCAUCAUGCCCCUUAUGACCUGGGCUACACACGUGCUACAAUGGCGUAUACAACGAGUUGCCAACCCGCGAGGGUGAGCUAAUCUCUUAAAGUACGUCUCAGUUCGGAUUGUAGUCUGCAACUCGACUACAUGAAGUCGGAAUCGCUAGUAAUCGCGGAUCAGCACGCCGCGGUGAAUACGUUCCCGGGUCUUGUACACACCGCCCGUCACACCAUGGGAGUUUGUAAUGCCCAAAGCCGGUGGCCUUUCCAAGGGGAAGGAGCCGUCUAAGGCAGGACAGAUGACUGGUAAAGGUCGUAACAAGGUAGCCGUAGGAGAACCUGCGGCUGGAUC